rnacentral:rRNA from 1 species
AUUGAACGCUGGCGGCAGGCCUAACACAUGCAAGUCGAACGGUAACAGGAAGCAGCUUGCUGCUUUGCUGACGAGUGGCGGACGGGUGAGUAAUGUCUGGGAAACUGCCUGAUGGAGGGGGAUAACUACUGGAAACGGUAGCUAAUACCGCAUAACGUCGCAAGACCAAAGAGGGGGACCUUCGGGCCUCUUGCCAUCGGAUGUGCCCAGAUGGGAUUAGCUAGUAGGUGGGGUAACGGCUCACCUAGGCGACGAUCCCUAGCUGGUCUGAGAGGAUGACCAGCCACACUGGAACUGAGACACGGUCCAGACUCCUACGGGAGGCAGCAGUGGGGAAUAUUGCACAAUGGGCGCAAGCCUGAUGCAGCCAUGCCGCGUGUAUGAAGAAGGCCUUCGGGUUGUAAAGUACUUUCAGCGGGGAGGAAGGGAGUAAAGUUAAUACCUUUGCUCAUUGACGUUACCCGCAGAAGAAGCACCGGCUAACUCCGUGCCAGCAGCCGCGGUAAUACGGAGGGUGCAAGCGUUAAUCGGAAUUACUGGGCGUAAAGCGCACGCAGGCGGUUUGUUAAGUCAGAUGUGAAGUCCCCGGGCUCAACCUGGGAACUGCAUCUGAUACUGGCAAGCUUGAGUCUCGUAGAGGGGGGUAGAAUUCCAGGUGUAGCGGUGAAAUGCGUAGAGAUCUGGAGGAAUACCGGUGGCGAAGGCGGCCCCCUGGACGAAGACUGACGCUCAGUGCGAAAGCGUGGGGAGCAAACAGG